CCUACGGGAGACAGCAGUGAGGAAUAUUGGUCAAUGGGCGCUAGCCUGAACCAGCCAAGUAGCGUGAAGGAGGACUGCCCUAUGGGUUGUAAACUUCUUUUAUAUGGGAAUAAAGUGCAGUAUGUAUACUGCUUUGCAUGUACCUUAUGAAUAAGGAUCGGCUAACUCCGUGCCAGCAGCCGCGGUAAUACGGAGGAUCCGAGCGUUAUCCGGAUUUAUUGGGUUUAAAGGGAGCGUAGGCGGGUUGUUAAGUCAGUUGUGAAAGUUUGCGGCUCAACCGUAAAAUUGCAGUUGAUACUGGCAGCCUUGAGUACAGUAGAGGUAGGCGGAAUGCGUGGUGUAGCGGUGAAAUGCUUAGAUAUCACGAAGAACUCCGAUUGCGAAGGCAGCCUGCUGGACUGUAACUGACGCUGAUGCUCGAAAGUGUGGGUAUCAAACAGGAUUAGAUACCCGUGUAGUC
rnacentral:rRNA from 1 species